AGUGGCGAACGGGCGAGUAAUAUAUCGGAACGUGCCCAGUCGUGGGGGAUAACGUAGCGAAAGUUACGCUAAUACCGCAUACGAUCUACGGAUGAAAGCGGGGGAUCGCAAGACCUCGCGCGACUGGAGCGGCCGAUAUCAGAUUAGGUAGUUGGUGGGGUAAAGGCUCACCAAGCCAACGAUCUGUAGCUGGUCUGAGAGGACGACCAGCCACACUGGAACUGAGACACGGUCCAGACUCCUACGGGAGGCAGCAGUGGGGAAUUUUGGACAAUGGACGCAAGUCUGAUCCAGCCAUUCCGCGUGCAGGAUGAAGGCCCUCGGGUUGUAAACUGCUUUUGUACGGAACGAAAAGGUCUCUCCUAAUACGAGAGGCUCAUGACGGUACCGUAAGAAUAAGCACCGGCUAACUACGUGCCAGCAGCCGCGGUAAUACGUAGGGUGCAAGCGUUAAUCGGAAUUACUGGGCGUAAAGCGUGCGCAGGCGGUUAUAUAAGACAGAUGUGAAAUCCCCGGGCUCAACCUGGGAACUGCAUUUGUGACUGUAUAGCUAGAGUACGGUAGAGGGGGAUGGAAUUCCGCGUGUAGCAGUGAAAUGCGUAGAUAUGCGGAGGAACACCGAUGGCGAAGGCAAUCCCCUGGACCUGUACUGACGCUCAUGCACGAAAGCGUGGGGAGCAAACAGGAUUAGAUACCCUGGUAGUCCACGCCCUAAACGAUGUCAACUGGUUGUUGGGUCUUAACUGACUCAGUAACGAAGCUAACGCGUGAAGUUGACCGCCUGGGGAGUA
rnacentral:rRNA from 1 species